CCAGCGGGGAAAUGCCUGACUACGGCGAGUGAAGCGGCAAAAGCUCAAAUUUGAAAUCUGGUACCUUCGGUGCCCGAGUUGUAAUUUGGAGAGGGCAACUUUGGGGCCGUUCCUUGUCUAUGUUCCUUGGAACAGGACGUCAUAGAGGGUGAGAAUCCCGUGUGGCGAGGAGUGCGGUUCUUUGUAAAGUGCCUUCGAAGAGUCGAGUUGUUUGGGAAUGCAGCUCUAAGUGGGUGGUAAAUUCCAUCUAAAGCUAAAUAUUGGCGAGAGACCGAUAGCGAACAAGUACAGUGAUGGAAAGAUGAAAAGAACUUUGAAAAGAGAGUGAAAAAGUACGUGAAAUUGUUGAAAGGGAAGGGCAUUUGAUCAGACAUGGUGUUUUGUGCCCUCUGCUCCUUGUGGGUAGGGGAAUCUCGCAUUUCACUGGGCCAGCAUCAGUUUUGGUGGCAGGAUAAAUCCAUAGGAAUGUAGCUUGCCUCGGUAAGUAUUAUAGCCUGUGGGAAUACUGCCAGCUGGGACUGAGGACUGCGACGUAAGUCAAGGAUGCUGGCAUAAUGGUUAUAUGCCGCCCGUCUUGAACC
rnacentral:rRNA from 1 species